rnacentral:rRNA from 1 species
GAUGAACGCUGGCGGCGUGCCUAAUACAUGCAAGUCGAGCGAACGGACGAGAAGCUUGCUUCUCUGAUGUUAGCGGCGGACGGGUGAGUAACACGUGGAUAACCUACCUAUAAGACUGGGAUAACUUAGGGAAACCGGAGCUAAUACCGGAUAAUAUUUUGAACCGCAUGGUUCAAAAGUGAAAGACGGUCUUGCUGUCACUUAUAGAUGGAUCCGCGCUGCAUUAGCUAGUUGGUAAGGUAACGGCUUACCAAGGCAACGAUGCAUAGCCGACCUGAGAGGGUGAUCGGCCACACUGGAACUGAGACACGGUCCAGACUCCUACGGGAGGCAGCAGUAGGGAAUCUUCCGCAAAGGGCGAAAGCCUGACGGAGCAACGCCGCGUGAGUGAUGAAGGUCUUCGGAUCGUAAAACUCUGUUAUUAGGGAAGAACAUAUGUGUAAGUAACUGUGCACAUCUUGACGGUACCUGAUCAGAAAGCCACGGCUAACUACGUG